rnacentral:rRNA from 1 species
UACGGGGGGGGUAAGCGUUGCUCGGAAUUACUGGGCGUAAAGGGCUCGUAGGCGGCCAACUAAGUCGGACGUGAAAUCCCUCAGCUUAACUGGGGAACUGCGUCCGAUACUGGAUGGCUUGGAUUUGGGAGAGGGAUGCGGAAUUCCAGGUGUAGCGGUGAAAUGCGUAGAUAUCUGGAGGAACACCGGUGGCGAAAGCGGCGUACUGGGUCUUUUCUGACGCUGAGGCACGAAAGCUAGGGUAGCGAACGGG